rnacentral:RNase_P_RNA from 2 species
GUCGGCCGGUGGAAGGCCGCUCCCCGUGCCCUAGGCACGGGGGGAGGAAAGUCCGAGCACCACUGAACCGCGGUGGUGGGUAACGCCCACCGUCCUGCGAAGUCCCUUGCGGACGAAGCGGGAUAGGGAAAGUGCCACAGAAAGCAAACCGCCCUCCGAAGCCCGGCCGACAGGCCUGGCCAAGGAGGGUAAGGGUGAAAGGGUGCGGUAAGAGCGCACCGCAGCGGCGGUGACGUCGCUGGCACGGCAAACCCCACCGGGUGCAAGGCCAAGCAGCGGUCGUGAGGACUGCGAACGUCCCGGCCCGCCGGGAUCGCGUUCGGAGCCUCGGGGCAGGUUCAGGCCAACACAGGUGCCCGAAUGCAAUCGCGUCUGGGCGCUCGACCGCGGGUAGGCCGCGUUCCCGAGUCAUCGGGAAGAGCCCGUCAGCAAUGGCGGGUCCAGACAAAUGGCCUUCGUCCCGGCGCCGGGGCCCGCCGAUGCCGGGAAACAGAACUCGGCUUACAGCCGGCCGACCCGG